rnacentral:tRNA from 1 species
UCCCUGAUGGUCUAGUGGCUAGGAUUCGGCGCUCUCACAAUAUCAAUAUCCAAUAUCUAGUGGCUAGGAUUUGGCGUUUUCCCGGGUUCGAUUCCCGGUCAGGGAA